rnacentral:rRNA from 1 species
AUAACCACGACAAUCUUACCACUUCUUGCAUAUUAUUAUAUAUAUUAUAUAAUAUAUUUAAUAAUACAGGUGUGGCAUGGGUGUCUUUAGUUCGCGUGGUGAAAUGUGAGGUGAAUUCCGUUAACGAACGCACUCCCUUUCUCUAGAUUUGUGAUAAUAAUAAUUUUUAAUUAAAUAUACUUACAGAAAUAUCUUUCUCUAGGAAGGAGAAAGUAUGAUUAAGACAAAUCUUCGUGACCCUUAUGAAUAGGGCGAGAGACAUGCCCCUCACAUUUCUAUUUUAAGAUGCAGAGAUGUAUGUGUGUCUGAGCUAGACCAUGACAGGGAAUUGAAGUACGGAUACGAAUCUGAAACUCAAUCCUGGUCUAAAUCCCCCACACACAA